GACGAACGCUGGCGGCGUGCUUAACACAUGCAAGUCGAACGGAAAGGCCCUGCUUUUGUGGGGUGCUCGAGUGGCGAACGGGUGAGUAACACGUGAGUAACCUGCCCUUGACUUUGGGAUAACUUCAGGAAACUGGGGCUAAUACCGGAUAGGAGCUCCUGCUGCAUGGUGGGGGUUGGAAAGUUUCGGCGGUUGGGGAUGGACUCGCGGCUUAUCAGCUUGUUGGUGGGGAAGUGGCUUACCAAGGCUUUGACGGGUAGCCGGCCUGAGAGGGUGACCGGCCACAUUGGGACUGAGAUACGGCCCAGACUCCUACGGGAGGCAGCAGUGGGGAAUAUUGCACAAUGGGCGGAAGCCUGAUGCAGCAACGCCGCGUGCGGGAUGACGGCCUUCGGGUUGUAAACCGCUUUCGCCUGUGACGAAGCGUGAGUGGCGGUAAUGGGUAAAGAAGCACCGGCUAACUACGUG
rnacentral:rRNA from 1 species